rnacentral:rRNA from 1 species
AAGUCGUAACAAGGUUUCCGUAGGUGAACCUGCGGAAGGAUCAUUACCGAGUUCAUGCCCUCGCGGGUAGAUCUCCCACCCUGUGUAUACCUUACCUCUUUGCUUUGGCGGGCCGCCUGGCUACCGGCUUCGGCUGGUAAGUGCCCGCCAAAGGACCCCCAAACCCUAACCCAUUACCGUGUCGUCUGAGUAAAAACUUAAUAUUUAAAACUUUCAACAACGGAUCUCUUGGCUCUGGCAUCGAUGAAGAACGCAGCGAAAUGCGAUAAGUAAUGUGAAUUGCAGAAUUCAGUGAAUCAUCGAAUCUUUGAACGCACAUUGCGCCCCUUGGUAUUCCGAGGGGCAUGCCUAUUCGAGCGUCAUUAUCACCCCUCAAGCUCCGGCUUGGUGUUGAGGCCUGCUGUAAAGGCACCCUCUAAAAUCAGUGGCAGUGCCGUCAGGCUCUAAGCGUAGUAAUCUUCUCGCUAUAGGGCCCUGAGGGACGCUCGCCAGAACCCCCCAUCUUUCAUGAUUGACCUCGGAUUAGGUAGGGAUACCCGCUGAACUUAAGCAUAUCAAUAUGCGGAGGAAAAGAAACCAACAGGGAUUGCCUCAGUAACGGCGAGUGAAGCGGCAAAAGCUCAAAUUUGAAAUCUGGCUCUUUCAGGGUCCGAGUUGUAAUUUGUAGAAGAUAUUUCGGGUGUGGCUCCGGUUUAAGUUCUUUGGAAUAUUACAUCAUAGAGGGUGAGAAUCCCGUAUGUGACCGGCAGCCUUCGCCCAUGUGAAGCUCUUUCGACGAGUCGAGUUGUUUGGGAAUGCAGCUCAAAAUGGGAGGUAUAUUUCUUCUAAAGCUAAAUAUUGGCCAGAGACCGAUAGCGCACAAGUAGAGUGAUCGAAAGAUGAAAAGCACUUUGGAAAGAGAGUUAAACAGUACGUGAAAUUGUUGAAAGGGAAGCGCUUGCAACCAGACUUGCACGCAGUUGAUCAUCCGGUGUUCUCACCGGGGCACUCUGCUGGGUUCAGGCCAGCAUCGGUUUCGGUGGUUGGAUAAAGGCCCUGGGAAUGUGGCUCCUCUCGGGGAGUGUUAUAGCCCUCGGUGCAAUGCAGCCUACCGGGACCGAGGACCGCGCUUCGGCUAGGAUGCUGGCGUAAUGGUUGUAAGUGACC